rnacentral:misc_RNA from 1 species
GAUGAAGAACGUAGCGAAAUGCGAUAAGUAGUGUGAAUUGCAGAAUUCCGUGAAUCAUCGAAUCUUUGAACGCACAUUGCGCCUUCUGGUAUUCCGGAAGGCAUGCCUGUUCGAGAGUCAUUAACAACCGUUUCGAUCCCUUUCUUUCAGAAAUUACAAAGAGGAAAAGGGUUUGGUUAUGGUGGAGGAGGGAAAGGGAGCGUUUAGCCUGUAAAAAAAGAGGCUGUAUUCCGCCUCCCCCCCAAAAUUGUACAGGCGGUCGUGUGCGCCCACGCAUCGAGGUGUUGUAAAAGCUGCCACGGCACUUUUCACCUGUGCAGUGCGAGAUUGGCCAGCCGGUUUAAAAACCCCUCCAAACAAUCAAAGGUUGACCUCGGAUCAGGUAGGGAUACCCGCUGAACUUAAGCAUAUCAAUAAGCGGAGGA